CGUGCUAUGAGAUGAGCCUGCGUCGGAUUAGCUAGUUGGUAGGGUAAUGGCCUACCAAGGCGACGAUCCGUAGCUGGUCUGAGAGGACGAUCAGCCACACUGGGACUGAGACACGGCCCAGACUCCUACGGGAGGCAGCAGUGGGGAAUAUUGGACAAUGGGGGAAACCCUGAUCCAGCAAUGCCGCGUGUGUGAAGAAGGCCUUCGGGUUGUAAAGCACUUUCAGUGGGGAAGAAAUUCUCAAGGCUAAUACCCUUUUGAGCGUUGACGUUACCCACAGAAGAAGCACUGGCUAACUCUGUGCCAGCAGCCGCGGUAAUACAGAGAGUGCAAGCGUUAAUCGGAAUCACUGGGCGUAAAGCGCGCGUAGGUGGAUAUUUAAGUCGGAUGUGAAAGCCCUAGGCUUAACCUGGGAAUUACAUCCGAUACUAGGUAUCUCGAGUAUGAUAGAGGGAAGUGGAAUUUCCGGUGUAGCGGUGAAAUGCGUAGAUAUCGGAAAGAACAUCAGUGGCGAAGGCGGCUUCCUGGAGCAAUACUGACACUGAGGCGCGAAAGCGUGGGGAGCAAACAGGAUUAGAGACCCUGGUAGUCCACGCCGUCAACGAUGAGAACUAGCUGUUGGAAAGUUUAAUUUCUAGUAGCAAAGCUAACGCGUUAAGUUCUCCGCCUGGGGAGUACGGCCGCAAGGUUAAAACUCAAAGAAAUUGACGGGGGCCCGCACAAGCGGUGGAGCAUGUGGUUUAAUUCGAUGCAACGCGAAAAACCUUACCUACCCUUGACAUCCUCGGAACUUGUCAGAAAUGACUUGGUGCCUUUGGGAACCGAGUGACAGGUGCUGCAUGGCUGUCGUCAGCUCGUGUCGUGAGAUGUUGGGUUAAGUCCCGUAACGAGCGCAACCCUCGUCCUUAGUUGCCAGCGGUUCGGCCGGGAACUCUAAGGAGACUGCCGGUGAUAAACCGGAGGAAGGUGAGGAUGAUGUCAAGUCAUCAUGGCCCUUACGGGUAGGGCUACACACGUGCUACAAUGGGCAGUACAAAGGGUUGCCAAACCGUGAGGUAAAGCUAAUCCCAAAAAGCUGCUCGUAGUCCGGAUUGGAGUCUGCAACUCGACUCCAUGAAGUUGGAAUCGCUAGUAAUCGCGAAUCAGAAUGUCGCGGUGAAUACGUUCUCGGGCCU
rnacentral:rRNA from 1 species